rnacentral:rRNA from 1 species
UAAUACCUACGGGAGGCAGCAGUGGGGGAUAUUGCACAAUGGGGGGAACCCUGAUGCAGCGACGCCGCGUGAAGGAAGAAGUAGCUCGGUAUGUAAAUUUCUAUCAGCAGGGAAGAAAAUGACGGUACCUGACUAAGAAGCCCCGGCUAACUACGUGCCAGCAGCCGCGGUAAUACGUAGGGGGCAAGCGUUAUCCGGAUUUACUGGGUGUAAAGGGAGCGCAGACGGCUGUGCAAGUCUGGAGGGAAAGGCGGGGGCCCAA